UUUUUCCUACGGGGGGCAGCAGUGGGGAAUAUUGCACAAUGGGGGAAACCCUGAUGCAGCGACGCCGCGUGAGUGAAGAAGUAUUUCGGUACGUAAAGCUCUAUCAGCAGGGAAGAAAAAAAGUCCUUUGGACUUUGGACGGUACCUGACCAAGAAGCCCCGGCUAACUACGUGCCAGCAGCCGCGGUAAUACGUAGGGGGCAAGCGUUAUCCGGAUUUACUGGGUGUAAAGGGAGCGUAGACGGCAGCGCAAGUCUGGAGGGAGAUGUCGGGGCCCAACCCCGGAACUGCUUUG
rnacentral:rRNA from 1 species